GACAUGCAAGCGAGCGGUAGGCGUUCCUUCGGGGGCGCCGAGAGCGGCGAACGGCGGAGUAACACGUGGUAACCUGCCCCGAAGACUGGGACAACCCGGGGAAACUCGGGCUAAUACCGGAUGUGGAUCUUUGGCUUCGGCUGAAGCAUCUAAAGGCGCAAGCCGCUUCGGGAUGGGCCCGCGGCCUUCAGGUAGUUGGUGAGGUAACGGCUCACCAAGCCUGCGACGGGUAGCCGGUCUGAGAGGUGAUCGGCCCGAGGGGCACUGAGACACGGGCCCCACUCCUACGGGAGGCAGCAGUCGGGAUUUUGGGCAAUGGGCGCAAGCCUGACCCAGCGACGCCGCGUGGAGGACGAAGCCCUUCGGGUGUAAACUCCUUUUAGUGGGGACGAACGCAGACGGUACCCACAGAAAAAGCCCCGGUAACUACGUGCCAGCAGCCGCGGUAAGACGUAGGGGGCGAGCGUUACCCGGA
rnacentral:rRNA from 1 species